rnacentral:rRNA from 2 species
GCCUAGCCCUAAACCUUGGUAAUAUAUCACAUACCCUGCCCGCCUGGGAACUACGAGCACCAGCUUAAAACCCAAAGGACUUGGCGGUGCUUUAGACCCCCCUAGAGGAGCCUGUUCUAGAACCGAUAACCCCCGUUCAACCUCACCCUUCCUUGUUUAUCCCGCCUAUAUACCGCCGUCGUCAGCUUACCCUGUGAAGGACUAAAAGUAAGCACAACUGGCACAACCCAAAACGUCAGGUCGAGGUGUAGCGCAUGGAAGGGGAAGAAAUGGGCUACAUUCCCUACACUAGGGAACACGAACGGCGCACUGAAACACGCGCCUGAAGGAGGAUUUAGUAGUAAGCGGAAAAUAGCGUGUUCCGCUGAAAUCGGCCCUGAAGCGCGC